GCUCCCGUGGUGGAACUGGCAGACACGCAUGGCUUAGGACCAUGUUCCCGCAAGGGAUUAGAGGUUCAAAUCCUCUCGGGAGCA
rnacentral:tRNA from 1 species